rnacentral:rRNA from 1 species
UACGUAGGGCGCAAGCGUUGUCCGGAAUUAUUGGGCGUAAAGAGCUCGUAGGUGGCUUGUCACGUCGGGUGUGAAAGCUUGGGGCUUAACUCCAGGUCUGCAUUCGAUACGGGCUGGCUAGAGGUAGGUAGGGGAGAACGGAAUUCCUGGUGUAGCGGUGGAAUGCGCAGAUAUCAGGAGGAACACCAAUAGCGAAGGCAGCUCGCUGGGACGUUACUGACACUAAGGCGCGAAAGCGUGGGGAGCGAACAGG